GAAUAUGGUUUUGGUAAUGAUUUAAAGAAAAAUUCUGGUACGAAUUAUCGGACCUUACACCCAGGUGUUUGCUUCCAAACUCUUUGCUCAAACUCUUUCAGCCACAAACCCUAGAGAACAUGUUCGAUUCUAACAUUUGUCUUUCAUACGCACGUUUUUACUUUGGAACAGAGUGAUAUGUCGCCACUCCUACCUGCGUCCUGCCGGUCACUACCUCCGCUAAACAAGAACACCACAUCCGCUUCCUACUCUUGCUCCGUCAACACGAGUUUCAACAUCACCGAACAACCACCAUCUCGAGCUUCACCUCUAUCAACAGCCCAAAUCCGCUCACUGCUUCAUCUCAUUCCGUCUUCAACCAUUCAAAUCAACUACCUUUUCCGCCUCCUGCCACCCUUACACGCCACUCCUUUCCUUUAUGGGUUAGAUCCAAAAAUACUAACCGAAUCUGCUAGCCAGCAAAAUUAGGGCAAGUACAUAUUAUAGCAUGUGGCACCCAAAUCAAACGGCUAGAUAGCGUUUUAUCCCAAGACCAACCCUAAGUCAUAAUUUUUACCUUUUCAUUUGCCUCCAUCGUUCCUGAAAUGCAUAGGUUCUUCAUCCUUAAUUCUCUAUUCAAGAAGACCAGUUCAUGACCUCAACCUCCGAUUUUGAGAUCUCUUUCCGCCGGUAACCUCUCUAUGAAAUCGGAAAGUGUUGAAGCUUCUACCUGGGUUUUUUUUAUGUACAAACGAAAUGAGUGAAAUACUCACACUUCGCCUCAUCCAUGUCGAGAAGUGUUUUGUACUAAUGUUGCACCAUCGUCUCUUGGUGUUGACGGUAACAUUUUUAAUGCUUUCUCUCACUGUAAUCUUUGCAUUCUACCAGAGUUUUUGAUUCCAAUAUAUGCCUCUUCUUGUGUUUCGGGUUGUUCACUAUCACUCAAGUAUUUAUAAUACUCACUGUGUGUAUGUUUACAAGUGUUUGGUUUUUUUUUAUAGAUUUAUUGGGAUGCUUUCUUUUGACUGAAACACAAACAUAGGAAAGAAAAGGAACUUGGAUACCAAACCUAAAGCUUAACCAUUCAUUUUUCAUUUUAGUUAUCUUUUUUUUUUUUUCUUUUUGUGUACAAAAUGAUGUGAAGACAGACCUGGAGGAGACGGAUAUGUGAUUAUCUGAAGGUAGUGACAGAACUGUGAAAGAAACCGGUGCUCUCUUUAGGCAAAAUGCAUGUUCAUGCUUUUUGUUGGUGCUGAAGCAGGGAAAGGUGGUGUAAUGAGGAUCAAAUUUGGUUGGUUCUUAGCUGCAACUAGAUGACUUUAGUUGCUUAUGUUUGAAAUAAUUAAAUAGUUAAAUAGAUAAUGGUUGGUGAGUUGCUGGAUGAUUUUUGGUAUUAAGUCAAAUGAGAAGAUUUUUGUAAAUGAUAUUUUAUUUUGUAUUACUUCGAUAGUGCUUUAUUGUAAGAUUAAUUAUCUUUAAAUUACUUUAAAUUACUUUUUAGAGGUA